UUGGACUAUAGCCAAGUGGUAAGGCAACAGACUUUGACUCCGUGAUCGUUGGUUCGAAUCCAGCUAGUCCAGUCCA
rnacentral:tRNA from 1 species